UGGGGAAUAUUGGACAAUGGGCGAAAGCCUGAUCCAGCCAUGCCGCGUGUGUGAAGAAGGUCUUCGGAUUGUAAAGCACUUUAAGUUGGGAGGAAGGGCAGUAAGCGAAUACCUUGCUGUUUUGACGUUACCGACAGAAUAAGCACCGGCUAACUCUGUGCCAGCAGCCGCGGUAAUACAGAGGGUGCAAGCGUUAAUCGGAAUUGCUGGGCGUAAAGCGCGCGUAGGUGGUUCGUUAAGUUGAAUGUGAAAGCCCCGGGCUCAACCUAGGAACUGCAUCCAAAACUGGCGAGCUAGAGGAGGGCAGAGGGUGGUGGAAUUUCCUGUGUAGCGGAGAAAUGCGUAGAUAUAGGAAGGAACACCAGUGGCGAAGGCGACCACCUGGGCUCAUACUGACACUGAGGUGCGAAAGCGUGGGGAGCAAACAGG
rnacentral:rRNA from 1 species